AAGAAAUUCAUCUCCAAAAAACUGGAGGAAGGCCUGAUCUGCAGAGAGGAAGCAACAGUGAAAGGAGCCUGAGAAGUUUCCUAGGCCAGGAGUUCUACGGUCUUCAAAGAUGCCUAAGGAGCUGAGUUGCUGUUCUUACGACUGUCCCAACCAAUGACCUGCAGCACUCCGACCCUCUGACCCUCCGUAUCCCUCCCUAAUCACAAGGUGGAUUUUUUUUUCCUUUUUUCUUUUUUGAGAUUUUUCUGUAUUUCCUUACUGUCCCAGCUUCUCUCUUCUGUAAACCUGCUUUGCAACUACUUGCGAUUUUACUCCUUAAAAAGGGGCCAAGAAAUAGCCCUGGGCUGCUCUCUUUAGCUGGACUCUGGAGGAAGAAGCUGGCCUGCUCUUGGGUACUCAUCUUCCCCAAAAGUCAACCUUGCUUCAAAUCUGGCUCAAAAUUGUGGGAGUGGUCUUUAUUAUCAACCAGUAGGAUUUACAUUUUCUGCCCCCAGUGAGAUUCAGACUGCUCACCCAAAUUCUAAAGUUGGACCUUCCUCUGGGUCUUUCGGGCUGAGGGGCCUGACCUCAAAAGGCGCACACCUUGACAAGUUCCAAGGUUCCAGGUGUGCUUUCAGUUUCAGACUAGGACUAUCAGCGUGAACUACCAUGAGGACAAGAGCCACAAACAUCUACAGAGGCCUUUCUGGUAAGUCAUAGUCUGGUCUGUGGAGAUCUUGAUCUGGGACAUGGGGGAAUUUGAUGGAACUCAAAUAUUCUCCUGUCCAGGGUCUGGCUUUAUGUUUCAUUUAUCUUGUCUUCAUAAGUCUUGUCUCUGGUUUCAUUUUUACUGUCUCCAUUUUGUCUUUUAUACUUUCUGUGUUAAUUGGUUUAUAUUGGACUUGGGACAACUGAAUUGACAGACAGUAUGGGUGAUAAGACUAGCAAGCCUAACAACCCUCUAUCUUGUGUCUAAAGGAUAUUUGGGGGCUGGAGAGAUGGCUCAGCGGUUAAGAGCACUGACUGCUCUUCCAAAGGUCCUGAGUUCAAAUCUCAGCAACCACAUGGUGGCUCACAACCACCAGUAAUGAGAUCUGACACCCUCUUCUGGUGUGUCUGAACACAGCAACAGUGUGUACUUAGAUAUAAUAAUAAAAUAAAUCUUUUAAAAAAAAGCAUUUUUGACAAACUUAGCUGGGCCUUUAAUCCCAGUACUUGGAGGGAGAGGCAGGCAGACUUCUGUGAGUUUGGGGCCAGUCUGGUCUACAAAGUGAGUUCAGGACAGCCAGGGCUACACAGAAAAACCCUGCCUUGAAAAAUCAAAACCAAAAGCAGAAGGAAAAAAAAAUCAGCAAAGUUUACUCCCUAUGGUCAAGGAGAAUUAUGAAUAUCCCAUCACCAAGAGUCACCUCUCUGUGAAACUGAAUGGCCCACAUUCAGGGUUGACUGGCCCUCCCAGGGCACUUUUGAUUUUCAGAUAGCCUGCACAAUGGUAUGUAUCACCCUUGCCAGGCCUGGCCACCCAGAAUAGAAUGGAUACAUCUUGUCUAAAGAAACUUCCAACAGGCUACCCUGGAUGAAGAUCUAUUUGAUCUGAAACAUGUAAGGUGUUGAGCUCUGAAUGUCAGCAGAUGGGCUUUUCAAGAGCCUGUAUCAGAGACCCAAGAGCCUCCUCUGAAAACUGUCCUGCAGGACUCACAGGAAAAAGAAUUCUUUCCUUUAUAUAACCAUCUCUAGCCCCUGCUCCCCUCCCCAACUCAACCUCCACCAUUGCCAGCUCAGCGCCCACCACUAAGGAUUCACUCUGCCUCUGUGUCUGAGUCUACCCUUACCUUACCUUCUAGCUCUUCCCUACCUCCACCUAUCUUCUCUCUACCUCCCAGCUCUUUCCCUCUCCCCACACCCAUCAGAGGGUCCCAUAUGGCCCUCUUGACUCUUCCUCCAAUUCUGGUGCUGGGGUUGUACCUCCUUUGGGCCUUGCUCCCCUACAGCCAUUUCCUUACAGUCACUAUCUGUAUGUCCCUUUCUCUACUACAGAUCUCUACAACUGGGAGAACAAGAAUCCCCCUUUCAGCACUAACCUAGAUUCUUUAGUUUUUCUAAUUGAUUCUACCUUUUUCAGUCAUCUCCCUCCUCACAUAGGAUGACUAUCAACAGAUCUCCAUGCCUUCUUUAAUACGGAAGAAAGGAAACAAAUUUUAAUGAAAGCAACUGAAGCACUGCCUGGAAUAACUUCAAUGGCUGAUGACCAGAGGGCAAAGGCAAUGGACUGUGCACUCCUAAGACAGAGACUCCAAUGAAACUUCAACACAGAGAAAGGUAGGAGGUCACUGAGUGAAUAUCAUCAGGUUCUGUUAGAAGGGAUGAAACUGGCUGCCCAAAAGUCCACUGACCUAUCUGAGGAAACAGAUGUAAAACAGAAUGUAAACGAAUCACCUUGAGCUUUUCUGAAUGGCUAUCAGUUAUAUACCCCUCUAGACCAAGAAAAGGUCCUGGCAAUUAACCCUGUCUCAAGGCAAUUAACCCUGUCUUCGUUACUCAGCCCACAUAGGUAAGAUACAAAAGAUGGAUGGAUUUGCAGAAAAAAAUCCAGACAAAUAACUAUUAGAAAUAUCCCAGAAGGGGCUGGAGAGAUGGCUCAGUGGUUAAGAGCACUGGCUGCUCUUCUAGAUCCUGAGUUCAAUUCCCAGCAACCACAUGGUGGCUCACAGCCAUCUGUAAUGGGAUCCAAUGCCCUCUUCUGGUGUGUCUGAAGACCAAGACAGUGUACUCAUAUACAUAAAAUAAAAUAAAAUAAAAUAAAAUAAUUCUUUAAAAAAAAAAAAAGAACAGAAAAAAGAGAUCCCAGAAGAUGUUUGACAGAGACAUUAAAGAAGAUCUUCUGAUAAAGAAGACGGGGUAUAUUACUGUGGCUGCACUAUCAGCUCCAGCCACUUUCAACUCUGCCCAUACAUCCCAUGAUUAAAAGAGGAGCUUUUAGCCGGGCGGUGGUGGCGCACGCCUUUAAUCCCAGCACUUGGGAGGCAGAGGCUGGCAGAUAUCUGAGUUUGAGGUCAGCCUGGUCUACAGAGUGAGUUCCAGGAUAGCCAGGGCUAUAUAGAGAGACCCUGUCUCGAAACAAACAAACAAACAAACAAACGAGGAGACAUUUAUAAAAGGACCAAUGCUCCUAACUGCAAUGAAAUAGGUCACUGAAAAAAAUGAAUGUCCAUAACAGAAACAGGCAGGAUCCCUGAAACCCAAGCCAAUCAUAGCUAUGGAGGAUCAGAGAGGCUGAGGCUCCUUUGAACUAAGUCCUCCAGGAGCCUGUCUUAGUUAGGGGUUUACUGCUAUGAGCAGACACUAUGUCCAAGGCAACUAUUGUAAAAGACAACACUUACUUGGGGCUGGCUUACAGGUUCAGAGGUUCAGUCCAUAAUUAUCAAGGCAGGAGCAUGACAGUAUCAAGGCAGGCAUGGUGCAGGCAGAGCUGAGAGUUCUACAUCUUCAUCUGAAGGCUGCUGAUGGAAGACUGACUUUCAGGCAGCUAGGGUGAGGGUCUUUUAGCUCAUACCCACAGGGACACACCUACUCCAACAGGGCCACACUUUCUAAUUGUGCCACUUCCUGGGCUGAGCAUAUACAAAACCAUCACAGUAACCUUCACCAUCAGGGGCCAGCUCAUAAAUUUUCUGGUAAACACAGGGGCUACCCAAUUGAUAUUAUAGGAACCCCUUAAACCCCUUGCCAACCAAAAACUGGAAGUGCAGGGGACACAUGACUGCUAAGCUAGGACAAGCGUCUGUGGCUGACUCAUUCUUCUAUUAUUUCUGCAUGACCCUUCCCUUAGAGGGACGACCUCCUGAACAAGCUCCAGGAAACAAACAUCAUUCUCAGGAGUUGCAACUGGGAGGCCCUGCUAAGACUUUAACCUGUCCAAUAAGUGAGGAAUAUCUGCUCCGCCAAUAUCUAACUAAUUCCAUGAACGGGGAAUGGAAAAAGUUGCUGAGUCCAAAAAUUCCUACAGUUUAAGCAGAGAAUAAUCCUGGCUUGGCAAAACAUGUAUCACCCGUCAUAUAGCAAUUAACAUCUAGGAUGAUGCCCAUUUGAGUCAAACAAUGCCCCAUCAGUUUGGAAGCCAGGGAAUGGAUUAUAAGGCUCACUUCAGGUGCAUCCUUGAUGCAGACACAUUUACUUCUUGCCAGUCGGCACGGAAUACCUCCUUACUACUUGUCCAAAAGCCACGAACUUAAGACUACAGAGCAGUAUAAGACUUGAGGGAAGUGAACAAACAGGUAUAAUCCAUUCCCUCAACUCUUAGAAAUCCCUACAUUUUGCUUACCACAAGAACGUAAAUUUUACACUGUAUUGGAUUUAAAAAGUGCAUUUUUCUCCAUUCCUCUAUCAAAAUUAAGUCAGCCUAUCUUUGCAUUUGAAUGAACUGACCCCAAACUGGGGAUAUCAGGACAACUAGUCUGGACCAGACUGCCUUAAGGGUUCAAAUUUUCUCCCAUUUUCAAUGAAGCACUCAGCCAGGACUUAAGUUACUUCUGUAGUAAAUGCCCCGAGGUAACCCUGCUUCAGUACCUGGAUGAUUUACUUUUGGCUGCUAAAAAUGACGAGGACAGUUUGAGAGCCAUCAGAGGCCUUUUGGAAACUCUAGCCCAGUUAGAUUACUGAGUUGCUUACUUCUAAGCACCUGCCUCGGCUAUGAACUGAGAGAUAGUAAGCAUCCGUUUGUUGUCCCAGGCUUGCACAGUGGCCAUAAUGCAAAUCCCAACUCUAAUCACCAAGAAACAAAUCAGGGAGUUUCUCGGAGUUGUUAGAUACCUGGGUUUGCCAAAUCCUUGUGUUCUGCUCUGGCAGGGGACAACACCCCUUUGGAAUGGACUGGGAACAUGAAGAGGCCCUUGCAUAGGUCCCCACUUUAACUCUCCCUGAUAUCUCCAAGCCCUUUCAUCUUUAUGUUCAUGAAGGGGCACUGCCAGGGGAGUCCUGCCAUAGACUCUGGGUCCCUGGAAAAGGUUGGUAACUUUCUUAUUUAGGGGUAUAUCGCUGUGAAGAGACACCAGGACCACAGCAACUCUUAUUAAAAAAACAAAACAAAAACAUUUAAUAGAGGCUGGCUUACAGGUUCUGAGAUUUAGUCCAUUAUCACGGCAGGAACCAUGGCAGUGUGCAGGCAGACACUCUCCUGAAGAAGGUGUCUGUCUGACAAUGUUCAGACAGAUAUGGUGCUGGUGAAGGAGCUGAGAGUUCUUUUUUUUUUUUUUUUUUUUUCUUCCGAAAAUAGGGUUUUCCUGUAUAGCCCUGGCUGUCCUGGAACUCACUCUGUAGACCAGGCUGGCCUUGAACUCAGAAUCUGCCUUCCUCUGCCUUCCAAGUGCUGGAAUUAAAGGCAUGCGCCACCACUGCCAGGCUGGAGCUGAGAGUUCUAAUCUUGAUCCACAGGCAGCAGCACACUAUGCCUAGCUUGAGCAUAUGAGACCUCAAAACCCAACCCCACAGUAACACAUUUCCUCCAAUAAACCACACAUACUCCAACAAGACCACAUUUCUUAAUAGUGGCCCUACUGGCUAAGCACAUUCAAACCCAUGAGUCUACCAGGGCCAGACCUACCUGGACCACCACAGCUUACAUCUCAAAGAGACUGGAUCCUGUAGUCUCUGGAUGGCUCCCUUAUUUAAGAGCCAUUAUAGCCAUUGCAAUUCCUGUAAAAGAAGCUGAAAAACUCACAUUUGGGCAGACUCUAACUGUAUUUGCUUUACAUGCCGUGAAAACUUUGCUGAUGCCACUAACUGGUUGAUGUCAAAUGCCCAUCUGACUUAAUACCAAGCCCUUCUUUUAGAUAAGGACAGCCUGACCUUUGAUAAAUCAUUAGCUUUUACUACUAUCACCCUACUGCCAGAUGACAACCCUGAGAAGACCAUCCAUGAGUGCCUGAAAAUGCUGGACAUUAUUCAAAGUACGUGACCUGACCUGACAUAUGUCCUCUCACCACCAGAGAUGUGGAACUCUACACAGAUAGCAGCAGCUUCACUCAUAAAGAACAAGAUAUGCAGAGGUAGUUGUGGUCACAGGCCAAAAGGAGGUCAUUUGGGUGCAAGCCUUGCUCAGGGGCACAUGCCUUGCCCAGGGGCCUAGUUGCCCAGAGAGCAGAAAUAAUUGUACUGACACAGGCUUUAAGAUGGGUUAAAGGAAAAACGGUGAACAUCUACACAGACAGCCAAGGUGCUUUUGCUAUGAUUCAUGUUCAUGGACAUAUAUAUAAAAAGAGGGGCUUAAACACCUCAGAGGAAACAACUAUUAAAAAUAAACAUGAAAUUGUCCAGUUAUAAGAAGCCAUUUGGCUACCAAUUGAACUGUCUGUAAUAUCAAAAAGACAAAAGCUACCAAACUCUAGGUAACAAUCACGUCGAUCAAGCCACCAAAGAGGCUGCUCUUAGGGAACCUAGAGCCCAGACUUCCUGGAACUAUCUGCUGUCCUAGAGACUCCAGUCUGCCUCAAAGCUGUUCCUGAGUCUGAGGAGGAGAUCAAGCCAUAUUCUGACUUAGGGGUUUAGGAGGCCUGCAACAGGUAGUGGAUCUUGCCUGACAGAAGAAUCUGCAUGGCAAAGGUACUGGGCCAAAACUGGUUAACCUGCCUUGCAUAGCUCCAUGCACUCACCACCUAAGAAGAUCUCAGACCUCAUCUCCCCUAUGUCUGGAUACCUAAACAGUGAGAAAAACUUCAGAGCAUUUCAGAUCGCUACCUGCUCUGUGCAAAGAACAUGCUUCCCCGAGAUCAAUGGAGUCAAGGUACAAAAUUACAGUGAAUUUUGGAAUUGGACUUCGCUGAAGGCAAGCCAGGACUGUAUGGUAUAAAUAUUUGCUGGUCUGGAAUACCAACACAGGAUGGGUAGAAGCUUUUCCAUUCCAAGCAGAAAUGGUCCAAGUGGUAGCUAAAAAAUUAAUAGCAGAAUUUACUCCCAGACUUAACCUCCCCAUUUCUCUGGGGUCCAACAAUGGCCCAGCCUUCACAGCCAAGUUAUCUCAAUUGUUCUCUAAAGCUCUUAACAUAAAUUGGAAACUUCACUUUAUUUAUGAUCCUUGGAGCUCAGCAAAGGCAGAGAGGAUGAAUAGAACUUUAAAGGAGAUUUUUAACUAAAUAUAACCUUGAGACUGAUGGUAACUGGGUUGACCUCUUACCUUACACUCUUCUCAGUUUCCCAUGCAUCCCCUAAUGAGAAAAGUUCACCCCAUAUGAGAUAGUUUAUGGGCAAUCACUUCCCAUGAUCCCUUGGGUACAUGUUAGAUAGUUAUCAGAUUGUCCUACUUCAAUCUCAGAGUCUUUAAAAGGAUUGCAAUUAACCUUGGGUAAGAUUUUCCCUGAAGUUUAGCCUGUUCAACCCAUUGGGUACUGCCCUGCAGAUCACUCAUUCCAGCUUGUAGAGGCUUUAUCAAUCUGCUACUUCAAAACUGAUCUGCAUCAGCCUAAUGGAAAGGACCUUACAUCAUGAUUCUCUGGAUAACUACCGCUGUUAACCUUACCAGUACUCCUGCCUGAGUUCAUCACUUGCACCUAAAGAAUGUACCCAAGGAACCCACAGCAGAGGAGCCCAACUCUGAAAGGUGGAAAGUGACUAGAAAAGGACUGCUAAAAAACAAACUUUCUAAGGUUUGACUGUGCAUUAUAACUUUAAACACUGUAUUUUUGCUGCUGGAAACCCCACCAUGACUACCCUGUGGCUAACUGUUUUACUGGUUUGUAUACAAACAGAACCUAAAUGCAUCUUGACAGGGGAAAUAAAAGGCACUCCUGACAUUGUCUUGCCAUGCAAAAGGUUGCUUUUAUCCACCCACUAGGGCCCAUGGCUAGGACAAAAAAAAAAGUGGGGGAGGAGCAAAUGGUCUUUAGCUAGAUAAACGGAGAUACUUGAGAUGGAUUAAUCUGACCAAUCCCAACGUAAUAGUACAGACUUCAGCAUAAUCAAAUAUUCUUUUAAAGGUUCUGAUAAUGGAAAUUACAGAUGUACUAAAAUAAGAAGAGGAAGGGAAGAUUCAUUAAUCACUUCAAUUGAACUUAAUAUCUCCAGAGUAACUCUGUCUGUAUCUAAUAAUAUGGAGUAUAAUUCUGGGCCCAUCUAGCACUAAAAAGGCAAUGAGAAUACUCCUGUGUAAGAAGGAAUCCCUUCAUUCCCAGUCUCUUAAAAAGAAAUCUGUAUGGAAUAGAGAUUUUCAUAUGAAGAUUAUACAAUGAAAAUGAGGGAUGAAAUGGAACACCCACUAAUGUUUUAAAAGCGAUGGCUGAUUUUCCUGUUGAUAAUGUCCUUUUCCUCCACUGCCCAUGCUUUGAUAACACUAAUGUCCCUUCUUCUUGUAAGUCUCCUCAUCACACCUCCCUCCCCUUUGGUAAAUGAUUUCCUAGGCUUUCUGUCUAGGAAAACAAUACUUAUUCUGUACUCCCUGCAGGGUGUAACGGUUUAUGUGGGAUAGGAUGAGUUACACCUAUUUUACUUAGCAAAUCAACAGAAUACGAGAGCUCUUCCUGAGAUCCGCAAUGACUCCUUACAUCUAUUAGAUCCCUCUGGUUGCUGUGUUACCACUGCCUUUCUGCUACCUGUCCCAGGACUUGUUGACUACAAAGAGAGAUUUCUAAACUAGCCUGAUUUUUAAAAAACUACUAAUAUUACAGAAAAAUAUUAGCUAAAAUUGAGAAAUGGGAGAACUGAGAAUAAUUUCUACAAAACAGAGCUACUAUAUAUAGACUAUUAUUCAAACAUAAUCUUGGCUGUCAACAAUUUACUGGAAUGUGCUGUUUAACAUCUCUGGUUUCUCACAUACCACUGACAACCAAAUUCAUGAUCUACAUAGAGAAAUAAAGAAAAUCUCUCCAACAAAUUUUUGACUGUCCAAUAUGGCUAGGAUGUCCUCCUCCCCCCUCACUGGACCUUUAACAUUUUUUUUUUAUUGGUUAUCAUUAUCAGGCCCUGCACCCUUCAAUGUGUUAUUAAUUUGACUGCCCAUCAGAUAAUUCUAAAAUCAUUGCCACUAGAUGACAUUAUUAAGAUAUCAAAGAUUUGACAGAAACACUUAAGUCAAGGGAGAACCUGUCUGACUCCAUUUUGAAGGCAGGAACCAUUAUGCUGUAUUAUUAAAAAUAUGAUUCCCUCUUUCCCAAGCCUUUGUCAAGGCCUCAUGUAUAAGACAUCUAUCAGGAAUCCCUGAAUCCCACCAGACUCCAUGAAGCAAACAGUGGCGCUCAGCUGGGCACGGUGACCAAGCAGCAUUGUGCUUUUGUGUUUUUGGACUGACUGUGCCACUUUGUAGCCGAAGUGCUGGAGCUAAGAGUGUUUGCCACUACAUCUUAUAGUAGUACACUGAAAACAGAAAAUUCAAAGAACGCUAGUAGUCUCUUCUCUGACAACUACAUGGUCUAGAGAUGACAAAGACAUUAGUGAAGCCUAGCUUUAGAGUCCUUUCUUCCCUAUGAAACCUGUGUAACCUAUAUCCAUCAUAAAGAAAUAACCUUCUAUGACAAGAUGGCUCAGUGGAUAAAGGCACUUGCAUGAUGGCCUGAGUAGGAUUCUCAGAACCUAUGAGGCUGGAGUAGAGGAUGACUCUUAAAAGUUGUCCUGACCUUUCCAUGAACACGGUGACAUCUGCACAUGGGAGCAUGUGCGCGCGCGCGCGCACACACACACACACACACACACACACACACACACACACACACACACAGAGUAAUAAAAGGAAAAGGAAAUGUAUGCUUUUUGCACCAUUUUCACAUGAACUAAAAUGCUUUCUGAAAGCAAAGCUGACA